UACGUAGGCAGCAAGCGUUGUUCGGAAUUAUUGGGCGUAAAGAGCGUGUAGGCGGCUUUGCAAGUCUGGUGUGAAAUCUCCCGGCUUAACUGGGAGGGGCAUUAGAAACUGGAAUGCUAGAGGAUGGGAGAGGUAAGCGGAAUUCCUGGUGUAGCGGUGAAAUGCGUAGAUAUCAGGAGGAACACCUGUGGUGUAGACAGCUUACUGGACCAUUUCUGACGCUGAGACACGAAAGCGUGGGUAGCAAACAGG
rnacentral:rRNA from 1 species